ACGAAGGGUGCAAGCAUUACUCGGAAUUACUGGGCGUAAAGCGUGCGUAGGUGGUUCGUUAAGUCCGAUGUGAAAGCCCUGGGCUCAACCUGGGAAUGGCAUUGGAUACUGGCGGGCUAGAGUGCGGUAGAGGGCAGUGGAAUUCCCGGUGUAGCAGUGAAAUGCGUAGAGAUCCGGAGGAACACCAGAGGCGAAAGCGGCGCUCUGGGCUGCACCUGACGCUGAGGCGCGAAAGCGUGGGGAGCAAACAGGA
rnacentral:rRNA from 1 species